rfam:Triticum aestivum genome assembly, contig: Triticum_aestivum_CS42_TGACv1_scaffold_328710_4BS
CACGUACUCCCUCCGUCCGGAAAUACUUGUCAUCAAGAUGAAUUAAAGGGGAUGUAUCUAGAUGUAUAUUAAUUCUAGAUACAUCCAUUUUGAUGACAAGUAUUUUUGGACGGAGGGAGUAUGUG